rnacentral:rRNA from 1 species
CCUUUAGAUUUUAAUUUAAGGUAUGAGCUGCCCACUGAAGUUUUAAAUGGCCGCGGUGUUUUGACCGUGCAAAGGUAGCAUAAUCAUUAGUUUUUUAAUUGAAAGCUGGAAUGAAAGAUUUGAUGAGAAAAUGACUGUCUCAGUUUAAUUUAAUUAGAAUUUUAUUUUUAAGUUAAAAAGCUUAAAUAUUUUUAAAAGACGAGAAGACCCUAUAGAGUUUUAUAUUUUAUUAAUAUAAAUAUUAAUUGUUUUAAAUAUUUUAUAUUAAUAAGAGUAUUUUGUUGGGGCGAUGGAAAAAUUUAAAUAACUUUUUUUAUAUAAUUAUACUUAUAAGUAAAUUUUUGAUCCAAAGUUUUUGAUUAUAAGAUAAAAUUACCUUAGGGAUAACAGCGUAAUUUUUUUUGAGAGUUCUUAUCGAAAAGAAAGAUUGCGACCUCGAUGUUGGAUUAAAAUAAAUUUUUGGUGAAGAAGCUAAAAAAUUAGUCUGUUCGACCUUUAAAACUUU